CCUACGGGGGGCAGCAGUGAGGAAUAUUGGUCAAUGGACGGAAGUCUGAACCAGCCAUGCCGCGUGCAGGAUGACGGCCCUACGGGUUGUAAACUUCUUUUGUCAGGGAGCAAUUGGGUCCACGCGUGGCCUUAGCGAGAGUACCUGAAGAAAAAGCAUCGGCUAACUCCGUGCCAGCAGCCGCGGUAAUACGGAGGAUGCGAGCGUUAUCCGGAUUUAUUGGGUUUAAAGGGUGCGUAGGCGGAAUAUCAAGUCAGCGGUAAAAAGUCGGGGCUCAACCCCGUCGUGCCGUUGAAACUGGUGUUCUUGAGUGGGCGAGAAGUAUGCGGAAUGCGUGGUGUAGCGGUGAAAUGCAUAGAUAUCACGCAGAACUCCGAUUGCGAAGGCAGCAUACCGGCGCCCAACUGACGCUGAAGCACGAAAGCGUGGGUAUCGAACAGGAUUAGAUACCCGAGUAGUC
rnacentral:rRNA from 1 species